GGCCUGGCGCGUCCGCCGAGCGCGGGGGUUUGUUUAUUUUCCCGGUUGGUAGCGGCGCUGGCGCUGGUUAGAGGUUCGCCGGUGACGUGAGCGCCCGAGUUGGGGGAGAGGACCAGAACCACCUGCUGGAGAAAGGGAGCUACGGGGGCCGGGCAGGGUCCAAACGCCUCACGUGGGCGGCGGCGCCACGGUCUUCGGGGUCACAGGGAAGAGAAGGGCUCUCCUCAAGCGGGUGGAAGGAGGGAGGCCUCCCGAGGGAAUGAGACUCCAGGCCACUCCCCCGCAGCAAGGCAGGAUCACCUGCGUCGCGGAGAGCAGUUAGAGGUCCCUGGAGUGGAAAAGGGCAGUGGGACCUGGUAGCUUGGGUUCCCUGCAACUUGGGGUUCGACCUCCAGGCAAUGAAGUAGGGAUGGUCCUGCAAGUCAAGAUUCCAGUAGCAAGAGUGCAUCAGAUCUCUGUAAGGAAAAUAACUAACAUUGCUCAGUUCCCUGUAGAGUUGCAGGGCGCUUUGACGUUAUCUCCCUUGGUUCUCCAUCAGGUCGUAGUGGACUAAUUUUACAGGCGAAGUUAAGUGACUUACCCAAAACCUCACAGCUAAUAAACGGCAGAGCCGGCACCCAGCUGUACUGGCUUCCAGCGCAUCCCAUUAUCUCCAUAAAUCCCCCUGAUUCAACUAAUAUUAGACGCCCCACAGGUAAGAUGCUUCAGAGUUAGAGGGGAGUUGAAGAUACCUUUGCCUUCAAAGAAGUAAGGAAUGAAACAAAGAUAAAACAGACAAUAAAAGACAAACCAUGAUAGGUGCCACGUGAAAAGUGGCAGAGUACUGCCGGGAAUCAAAGAACCGUGUAUAUCUGUCUUGGGGAUAAGGAAAGAAACGCAGCAUGAAGGAGUAGGCAUUUGGGAUUGACCUUGAAGGAGACAGGGAGAGUUUUACAGCAAGAAGGGAUAGCAUGAGAAUAUAUAUGAAGGCGAAUCAGUGAAAGUUGUGUUGGGGAAAGAGCAAAGACUCCAGGUAUGUUGAGAGGUAGAAAAGACAAAGGAGUAUGGGGCCUAAGAUACCAAAUGGAUGAAUUUAUAUUUAAUUCAGUAUUUUGAGUUUUUAUGGUUCAGAAGUUUGGGGGAAGAAAAGGAAGGUUUUUUUUUUCUUUAUGCUAGUGAUUUAUCUGUGAAGGGAAGCAGAAAUCAGAGGUGGAAAAACUGACAGAUCUACUGUAGGCCAGGUAAAAGGUAAUGAUGAGUCUGACCUAAAGGGACAGCCAGGGGAAUUUAAAGAGCAUAGUUGAGAGAUGAUGUGCAUGCAGAAUCUAUAGAAUUUGCUAACUGAUUGAUUAAUUGUGGGUAGGAAGAGAGAAAUCAAAGAAAGUGGAGGUUUUGAGUUUCUAGAUAAUUGCAAGAGAGAAAAGAGACAAUUACAAAGGAAAGGAGAAGGAGCUACUUCUUGAGAGAAGAUCAGUUUAGAUUUAGACAUUUUAAGAAUUCAAAGGGUUGUCAAGACAGCCAGACGGACAUGGACACUAAUAAGUUAGAAAUAAAGGUUUUGUAAUAUGGGAAAGAGGACUGAGCUAGAAAAUAGACUCAUAGAUAAUCAGCCUAGGAGUGAUAUUGCUGUGAGAUAAAAGAAGAAAACAAAGUCAGAAUCUUGGAAAACACCCUCUUCAGAGUCUCGCUGCUCAAAACGUGGUCAGUGGCCCAGCAGCACUGACAUGAGGACCUUAGUUGGAAACUCAGAAUCUCAGGCUCCACCCCAGACCUGCUGAACCAGCAUCUUCAACUUAACAAGAACCCGAAGAGAUUUGUGCCACAUCAAAAAGUUUGAGAAGCUCUGAUCUAGGUGAGCCAAGCCAGCAAAGAAAGGGGGUGGAGCAGAAAAUGGGAGGAGAAUAGGGUAAUGCAGAAUCAUCAAGACAAGGUAAAUUGGACUUUCACAAAAACGGGGCUGGAAGGAGUGUUGCUCAACAAUAUCCAAAACCACAGAGGUUGAAAAGCACAAGGAAAGAAGGUAUGUUUGCACUUUGUGAUUAGGUAGUAGGGUCUUUAAGACCACAUUGUUCUCAUUGAAAGCCUGGGAAGAAAGAUCCCCUUUCUGGUCAAGGUUAGUCUAGGGAUCCAUCCCCUCUUCCCCAGUUCCCACGUAUAUGGGACAUGUCGAGAUAAGUAGAUAGAUUGGACAGUGGGAGAAAGUAGUUCUCUUCCAGUUGCUUCUAUUUUCUCAGCAAAGUGAGGAACAAGAUCAUUUUGGCAGACUGCUAAUUGUCCAUCAUAAUUUAGUCUCCCCUUCUCCCUGAAAACACAGACUGCUUUUCUCAGCCUCUCUUUCAGUUGCAUAUGGUCAAGUAUUAAGUUAUAGAACAUGAGCAGAUGUUAUGUCUGCCACUGUCAGGCCAAGGCGUUUACUUUGAGAGUACUUGUGCCUCUUUCAUACAUUUUCCUUUCUGCCAGCUGGACCCUGGACACGGUGACUCUGAUUCAAUUAUGCAGAUGACCACAAGCCUCUGGGGUUGGCAGAGCCACAAGAAAGAAGGUGCCUGGAUGAAGGAGAGCUACCCACUGACCUGGACACCCAAUUAUGUCAUAGGUGCUGCAAUCUAGAGACAAAAUAUUCCUUACACUGCCAGAUACUUGCAAACUAAGGGGAACGAGCUUCCCUCUGAAUGUUUAUGAAGGAGAGACCACUGUGUCAUCUGUCUUAGAGCUAUUGGAAUCCUGGAUCAUUGUGGGAAAUGAAAAAUACUUCGAUGGAAUCAGCAGCCAUUGAUCCAAUGCCAACUCCAAGACUGGAACGUCGCAAUGAUAGUUCCAAGGCGGAAAUUUGACGUA
rnacentral:lncRNA from 1 species